rnacentral:rRNA from 1 species
CUACGGAACUCCUACGGGAGGCAGCAGUGGGGAAUAUUGGACAAUGGGCGAAAGCCUGUUCCAGCAAUGCCGCGUGAGUGAUGAAGGCCUUAGGGUUGUAAAGCUCUUUUACCAGGGAUGAUAAUGACAGUACCUGGAGAAUAAGCUCCGGCUAACUCCGUGCCAGCAGCCGCGGUAAUACGGAGGGAGCUAGCGUUGUUCGGAAUUACUGGGCGUAAAGCGCACGUAGGCGGCGAUUCAAGUCAGAGGUGAAAGCCCGGGGCUCAACCCCGGAACUGCCUUUGAAACUAGAUUGCUAGAAUCCUGGAGAGGUGAGUGGAAUUCCGAGUGUAGAGGUGAAAUUCGUAGAUAUUCGGAAGAACACCAGUGGCGAAGGCGACUCACUGGACAGGUAUUGACGCUGAGGUGCGAAAGCGUGGGGAGCAAACAGGAUUAGAUACCCCGGUAGUCCUCUUCGA